AACUGUGAGACACAGAGACCAUGAGAGACUUGGGGACACUGGGAGACAUGGGGACACUGAGACAAUAGGGACACAGUGGCCACAUGUCUCCCAGUGGCCCCAUAUCUCUGUGUCCCCAUGUCUCUCAGUGUCCCCUAGUCUCUCAGUGUCCCCAUGUCU